rnacentral:rRNA from 1 species
AUUGAACGCUGGCGGCAGGCCUAACACAUGCAAGUCGAACGAGUGGCGGACGGGUGAGUAAUGUCUGGGAAACUGCCCGAUGGAGGGGGAUAACUACUGGAAACGGUAGCUAAUACCGCAUACCAUUGGAUGUGCCCAGAUGGGCUUGGCUAGUAGGUGGGGUAACGGCUCACCUAGGCGACGAUCCCUAGCUGGUCUGAGAGGAUGACAAGCCACACGGGAACGGAGGCACGGUGCAGACUCCUACAGGAGGCAGCAGUGGGGAAUAUGGCACAAUGGGAGAAAGGCUGAUGCAGCCAUGCCGCGUGUAUGAAGAAGGCAUUCGGGUUGUAAAGUACUUUCAGCGAGGAGGCGUUACUCGCAGAAGAAGCACCGGCUAACUCCGUGCCAGCAGCCGCGGUAAUUC